rnacentral:rRNA from 1 species
UACGUAGGGUGCGAGCGUUGUCCGGAAUUAUUGGGCGUAAAGCGUGCGCAGGCGGCUUUGCAAGACAGAUGUGAAAUCCCCGGGCUUAACCUGGGAACUGCAUUUGUGACUGCAUGGCUGGAGUGCGGCAGAGGGGGAUGGAAUUCCGCGUGUAGCAGUGAAAUGCGUAGAUAUGCGGAGGAACACCGAUGGCGAAGGCAAUCCCCUGGGCCUGCACUGACGCUCAUGCACGAAAGCGUGGGGAGCAAACAGG